GAAGAACAGUGGCUUCUGCCCUCAGAUCCUUAGAAUCGUCAGCUCAGAAGCCCAUUCCCUA
rnacentral:sRNA from 1 species